UAAUCAAGAUUUCUCCAACCGUGAGGGGGUUGCUCCCAAUCAUGAUGCCUCAGUCAAAUACCAGAGACACGAGGACACGGAUUCUGACCGAGAACCUAAGCCUGUCUGUGUGUCUUCCUUGACUCCGGCAGAAAGUACCCCUAAAGAAACCUCCGGGAAGGCCUUCCCUCGCCCUCGACACCUGAAGAAGGAGUUAUGCCAAAGGUGGAAAGCUGUCGAGGACGUGAACACCAAGAACGGAUCAAGGAAAGCAAAGUCGUCUGUUCUGGG